GGAAUCAAGUGGACAAGCGCACAGACGGAGUCAGGUAGACAAGCACACAGAGUCAGGUGGACAAGCACACAGACGGAAUCAAGUGGACAAGCGCACAGACGGAGUCAGGUGGACAAGCGCACAGACAGAGUCAGGUGGACAAGCGCAGAGUCAGGUGGUCAAGCACACAGAC